UGUUCGUCUUCCUGUUUUGAUGUCUGCUCCGCGGUUGUUUCAUCUGCAUGAUAAACAAAAUAUCCACGAAGUUUUAAGAGGACGGAAAUGUGCGUCGUGGUAGUAAGAAAGCCGUAAGAGACGUGUAUCUUGUGAGAAAACGGCGCCAUUUCCAGCGUUCCUGGGUGUAAAACAGCGGAAAACUGUGAGUUUUGUUUGAUUAUUUAUUUGUAAUUUUUCCAAUGACUUGUAAGUAAUUUUAUUUAUUUAUUUGUGUUCAUUCUCUGUGGUCAGAGUCCACUGUCGUAUUUUUAUGUUACUUUCUUUAACAUUUUUUGUUCGGUAAAAUCCUUUGCCACAAGACCAACCAGUUGUCAAAGAAGUUCUGAGAUUUUGUUUUACUUGAAGCAAGUCUGUGAACAUUUUUGAGUGUGAUGUAAAAAUAAUAAAUUGCUGUAAAAAAAAA